rnacentral:rRNA from 1 species
UUCCAGGUAAAUCCGGUUCACUUUAACACUGAGGCGUGACGACGAGGCACUACGGUGCUGAAGCAACAAAUGCCCUGCUUCCAGGAAAAGCCUCUAAGCAUCAGGUAACAUCAAAUCGUACCCCAAACCGACACAGGUGGUCAGGUAGAGAAUACCAAGGCGCUUGAGAGAACUCGGGUGAAGGAACUAGGCAAAAUGGUGCCGUAACUUCGGGAGAAGGCACGCUGACACGUAGGUGAAGUGAUUUACUCAUGGAGCUGAAGUCAGUCGAAGAUACCAGCUGGCUGCAACUGUUUAUUAAAAACACAGCACUGUGCAAACACGAAAGUGGACGUAUACGGUGUGACGCCUGCCCGGUGCCGGAAGGUUAAUUGAUGGGGUCAGCGCAAGCGAAGCUCCUGAUCGAAGCCCCGGUAAACGGCGGCCGUAACUAUAACGGUCCUAAGGUAGCGAAAUUCCUUGUCGGGUAAGUUCCGACCUGCACGAAUGGCGUAAUGAUGGCCAGGCUGUCUCCACCCGAGACUCAGUGAAAUUGAACUCGCUGUGAAGAUGCAGUGUACCCGCGGCAAGACGGAAAGACCCCGUGAACCUUUACUAUAGCUUGACACUGAACAUUGAGCCUUGAUGUGUAGGAUAGGUGGGAGGCUUUGAAGUGUGGACGCCAGUCUGCAUGGAGCCGACCUUGAAAUACCACCCUUUAAUGUUUGAUGUUCUAACGUGGACCCGUAAUCCGGGUUGCGGACAGUGUCUGGUGGGUAGUUUGACUGGGGCGGUCUCCUCCUAAAGAGUAACGGAGGAGCACGAAGGUUGGCUAAUCCUGGUCGGACAUCAGGAGGUUAGUGCAAUGGCAUAAGCCAGCUUGACUGCGAGCGUGACGGCGCGAGCAGGUGCGAAAGCAGGUCAUAGUGAUCCGGUGGUUCUGAAUGGAAGGGCCAUCGCUCAACGGAUAAAAGGUACUCCGGGGAUAACAGGCUGAUACCGCCCAAGAGUUCAUAUCGACGGCGGUGUUUGGCACCUCGAUGUCGGCUCAUCACAUCCUGGGGCUGAAGUAGGUCCCAAGGGUAUGGCUGUUCGCCAUUUAAAGUGGUACGCGAGCUGGGUUUAGAACGUCGUGAGACAGUUCGGUCCCUAUCUGCCGUGGGCGCUGGAGAACUGAGGGGGGCUGCUCCUAGUACGAGAGGACCGGAGUGGACGCAUCACUGGUGUUCGGGUUGUCAUGCCAAUGGCACUGCCCGGUAGCUAAAUGCGGAAGAGAUAAGUGCUGAAAGCAUCUAAGCACGAAACUUGCCCCGA